GACGAACGCUGGCGGCGUGCUUAACACAUGCAAGUCGAGCGGUAAGGCCCUUCGGGGUACACGAGCGGCGAACGGGUGAGUAACACGUGAGUAAUCUGCCCAUCACUUCGGGAUAACUCCGGGACACCGGUGCUAAUACCGAAUAUGACCACUUCAGGCAUCUGAUGGUGGUGGAAAGUUCCGGCGGUGAUGGAUGAGCUCGCGGCCUAUCAGCUUGUUGGUGGGGUAGUGGCCUACCAAGGCUUCGACGGGUAGCCGGCCUGAGAGGGUGACCGGCCACACUGGGACUGAGACACGGCCCAGACUCCUACGGGAGGCAGCAGUGGGGAAUAUUGGACAAUGGGCGAAAGCCUGAUCCAGCAACGCCGCGUGAGGGAUGACGGCCUUCGGGUUGUAAACCUCUUUCAGCAGGGACGAAGCGCAAGUGACGGUACCUGCAGAAGAAGCACCGGCCAACUACGUG
rnacentral:rRNA from 1 species